GGACAAGUAAGCUAAAACUCAAGCUAACGGGCUCAUACCCCGUGUAUAGAGGUAUGACUCUCUUCUCUA
rnacentral:tRNA from 1 species